rnacentral:tRNA from 3 species
AAUUAUUUUGGCAGAUUAGUGCAAUGAAUUUAGAAUUCAUAUAUGUAAUUUUAUUACAAGUAAUACUUGUUUUAU